rnacentral:rRNA from 1 species
CAGAUAAGGAGCUUGCUCCUUUGACGUUAGCGGCGGACGGGUGAGUAACACGUGGAUAACCUACCUAUAAGACUGGGAUAACUUCGGGAAACCGGAGCUAAUACCGGAUAACAUAUUGAACCGCAUGGUUCAAUAGUGAAAGGCGGCUUUGCUGUCACUUAUAGAUGGAUCCGCGCCGUAUUAGCUAGUUGGUAAGGUAACGGCUUACCAAGGCAACGAUACGUAGCCGACCUGAGAGGGUGAUCGGCCACACUGGAACUGAGACACGGUCCAGACUCCUACGGGAGGCAGCAGUAGGGAAUCUUCCGCAAUGGGCGAAAGCUGACGGAGCAACGCCGCGUGAGUGAUGAAGGUCUUCGGAUCGUAAAACUCUGUUAUCAGGGAAGAACAAAUGUGUAAGUAACUGUGCACAUCUUGACGGUACCUGAUCAGAAAGCCACGGCUAACUACGUGCCAGCAGCCGCGGUAAUACGUAGGUGGCAAGCGUUAUCCGGAAUUAUUGGGCGUAAAGCGCGCGUAGGCGGUUUUUUAAGUCUGAUGUGAAAGCCCACGGCUCAACCGUGGAGGGUCAUUGGAAACUGGAAAACUUGAGUGCAGAAGAGGAAAGUGGAAUUCCAUGUGUAGCGGUGAAAUGCGCAGAGAUAUGGAGGAACACCAGUGGCGAAGGCGACUUUCUGGUCUGUAACUGACGCUGAUGUGCGAAAGGUGGGGGAUCAAACAGGAUUAGAUACCCUGGUAGUCCACGCCGUAAACGAUGAGUGCUAAGUGUUAGGUGGUUUCCCCCUUAGUGCUGCAGUAACGCAUUAAGCACUCCGCUGGGGAGUACGCCCCAA